rnacentral:rRNA from 1 species
UACAGAGGUCUCAAGCGUUGUUCGGAAUUAUUGGGCGUAAAGCGCUUGUAGGCGGCUUGUUAAGUCCUGUGUGAAAGCCCUUGGCUUAACCAAGGAAGUGCGCAGGAAACUGGCGAGCUUGAGUGCUGGAGAGGGUCGCGGAAUUCCCGGUGUAGAGGUGAAAUUCGUAGAUAUCGGGAGGAACACCAGUGGCGAAGGCGGCGACCUGGACGGACACUGACGCUGAGACGCGAAAGCGUGGGGAGCAAACAGG